GACGAACGCUGGCGGCGUGCUUAACACAUGCAAGUCGAACGGAAAGGCCCUGCUUGUGUGGGGUGCUCGAGUGGCGAACGGGUGAGUAACACGUGAGUAACCUGCCCUUGACUUUGGGAUAACUUCAGGAAACUGGGGCUAAUACCGGAUAGGAGCUCCUGCUGCAUGGUGGGGGUUGGAAAGUUUCGGCGGUUGGGGAUGGACUCGCGGCUUAUCAGCUUGUUGGUGGGGUAGUGGCUUACCAAGGCUUUGACGGGUAGCCGGCCUGAGAGGGUGACCGGCCACAUUGGGACUGCGAUACGGCCCAGACUCCUACGGGAGGCAGCAGUGGGGAAUAUUGCACAAUGGGCGGAAGCCUGAUGCAGCAACGCCGCGUGCGGGAUGACGGCCUUCGGGUUGUAAACCGCUUUCGCCUGUGACGAAGCGUGAGUGACGGUAAUGGGUAAAGAAGCACCGGCUAACUACGUG
rnacentral:rRNA from 1 species